rnacentral:rRNA from 1 species
GAUGAACGCUGGCGGCGUGCUUAACACAUGCAAGUCGAACGAAGCAACUUAUCACGAUCCCUUCGGGGUGACGAUUUGUUGACUGAGUGGCGGACGGGUGAGUAACGCGUGGGUAACCUGCCUUAUACAGGGGGAUAGCAGCUGGAAACGGCUGAUAAUACCGCAUAAGCGCACGGUAUCGCAUGAUACAGUGUGAAAAACUCCGGUGGUAUAAGAUGGACCCGCGUCUGAUUAGCUAGUUGGUGGGGCAACGGCCUACCAAGGCGACGAUCAGUAGCCGACCUGAGAGGGUGACCGGCCACAUUGGGACUGAGACACGGCCCAGACUCCUACGGGAGGCAGCAGUGGGGAAUAUUGCACAAUGGAGGAAACUCUGAUGCAGCGACGCCGCGUGAGCGAAGAAGUAUUUCGGUAUGUAAAGCUCUAUCAGCAGGGAAGAUAAUGACGUAC